rnacentral:rRNA from 1 species
GUGGGGAAUUUUGGACAAUGGGCGCAAGCCUGAUCCAGCAAUGCCGCGUGCAGGAAGAAGGCCUUCGGGUUGUAAACUGCUUUUGUACGGAACGAAAAGCCUGGGGCUAAUAUCCCCGGGUCAUGACGGUACCGUAAGAAUAAGCACCGGCUAACUACGUGCCAGCAGCCGCGGUAAUACGUAGGGUGCAAGCGUUAAUCGGAAUUACUGGGCGUAAAGCGUGCGCAGGCGGUUUUGUAAGACAGUGGUGAAAUCCCCGGGCUCAACCUGGGAACUGCCAUUGUGACUGCAAGGCUAGAGUGCGGCAGAGGGGGAUGGAAUUCCGCGUGUAGCAGUGAAAUGCGUAGAUAUGCGGAGGAACACCGAUGGCGAAGGCAAUCCCCUGGGCCUGCACUGACGCUCAUGCACGAAAGCGUGGGGAGCAAACAGGAUUAGAAACCCUGGUAGUCC